UGGAUUUUAGCUAGAUUCUGCUUGUUCACAUCAUGUGUAUUGCAGAAAGGAGUUGUUUCACUCCCUAGAGAGCAGUGAGAGCCCUAUUCACUUACUGGAUGGAUUGAACUAUGAGAUUAAGGGCAGUGGGAUUGUCAGCUUACAAAUACAUGAUGGAGCAGUGAGGAAGUUGGGUGAGGCCCAAUAUAUACUCAGCUUCAAGAGUAAUCUAAUUUCAUUGAGUAGACUAGAUUCAAGCGGCUACAGGUGGAGAGCUGAUGAUAAAAUUUUGUAGAUCAUACAUGAUAGUAAGGUUAUGAUGAAGGAAAAAAAGUAUAGAGGAUAUUACCUCUUAGCAAGAAGCUCAAUGUGAGGUGGAGCUUCAGGAGCCAGUGGGAGCCUAGUGUGAGGUGGAGGUCCAGGAGUAGGUAGAUCGAGCACGAGAUGAGAGACUCAGGAUGAUGACAUGCGACGUCGCAAGGUGAAGUUUCUAUUACCAUAGGAGGCUACCCCAAGCAGAUCUUAGGUUAGAUGGGUUACAGUACACAACGGAGAUGGGAUCGAGCGAUUUGGCUCGACUCCUAUAAUUGCCCAUCCAAUAAGCAGCCAGACAUUUGCCUUAGAGCAUGGGGCG
rnacentral:lncRNA from 1 species